CGUGUAGGCGGGAAUACAAGUCAGAUGUGAAAUACUGCGGCUCAACUGCAGAACGGCAUCUGAAACUGUAUUUCUUGAGUACUGGAGAGGAAAGCGGAAUUCCUAGUGUAGCGGUGAAAUGCGUAGAUAUUAGGAGGAACACCGGUGGCGAAGGCGGCUUUCUGGACAGUAACUGACGCUGAGACGCGAAAGCGUGGGAAGCAAACAGGAUUAGAUACCCUGGUAGUCC
rnacentral:rRNA from 1 species